CUGAAACACUCUGAACACGCGGGUUAUUUAUUGGCAAUGAUGAAUUUGUACUUUAAAGAGAGGCCACAUCAGAUCACAUAACAAAAUUAAAUCUUAUCAGCAAAGCGUUCCCAACGUUGAUCAAUCCAGAUUGAUAGUGUAGUUGUUGGUCUUCCGUUUUCUAAACCUGUUUCAAGUAAUAGACUUCUGAUCACCCUUUGUUAUUUCAGAUGAAAGAGAAUGAACAAAAAUAGAAAUGAUGGGCUCUGUGGAAUCAUUUGCUGGUAUUAAGUUUGGAUUUCAGAGGUUGGGAGCGGUCCUUUCCCCACAUCAGACUUACAAACUGCCAUUGGCCAGAAGAACGAGAACCUCUCCAGGCUGGGCACCUUGUAAGAAGUGGAGAUGAAGACCCAGACACCCAUAGAGGGAAGACCACAUGAGAACACAGCAAGAAGGUAGCCAUCUGCAAGCCAAGGAGAGAGCCCUCGGAAGAAACUAACCCUGAGGACACCUUGAUCUUGGACUCCCAGCCUCUAGAACUUAGAACCCAAAUUAGGGAAUUUGAAAUGAAGAGCAAUCAGAAUAGUCCUUGGAUUGGUUUCUGACUCAUCUUAUAGCCAAACAGCUCCAAAUUACGUUCAAGUGCCUGACUCUUU
rnacentral:lncRNA from 1 species